CGAGUGCGCGAGCGGACAUGACGUGUGGCUGUCGUAAAAACCCUAUUUGUAAACAACCAGCCCUUUAACUCGGGGCUGCGUCAUAAACACGGCGCGCUUGGAAGACCACGAUGUCAUCUUCCUUCUGUCAGGAGGAUCCAAGUGAAGCUACAGGAGUUUCAUUAACGUCAACAACUUGGACCAAACAGUUUGUUUUGCUUGAUGAAGAGCAGAAAGGGCAGCCUGGAGAGAAAGAGAAGCCGGGUUGAGCCCACUACCAUCAUCCACGUACCACGAGGAAGAUGAGGGAGAGAAAUGAUCCUACCAUUAAAGAGACUGUGAAAAGAACGUUGAGAACAUCACCACUCUACAGGAAGACACAGUCCAGUAAUGGGUGUCAGAAGUUCAGUAGUGAACGACAGAAACAAACAAUCCAAAUUACCUGCAGAAAGCCCUUGAUGGACGCUUCAGCUGCAUCGUCAGACUGGCAGUACUGAUGCAUUUACUGAGAGGGGACGUGAGGGCCUACUCUGCGUGCUCAGAGUUCAAGCCCAGCAGGCUGCAGCGGGCCUGACAUAUUCUGGAACAGCAGCACAGUCUUUGGAUGACUCCUCUGAAGAUGAAAACAUGGCGAGUUCUUCUCAAGAGAAGCAGUACAGGUGUGCCUCAGCUCCACGGUCCCUCCUGCAGCCUCCGCUCCUGAUGCUAACCUCAUGUCUCCAUCACACCAAGCAGCAGACCUGGAUUGACAGACCUUUCUCCAGAGCUGCCCCCUCCCUCUGAAACCCCCCUCUCCAAAACACUAUUUGUGUAGUUUUUAAAGUAUUUUUUGCAUGAGAAUUGUUGAUCAUAACAUUUCCAGCAGAUGCCUUAAUA